UCCUACCUGGUUGAUCCUGCCAGUAGUCAUAUGCUUGUCUCAAAGAUUAAGCCAUGCAUGUCUGAGUUCGCACCCCUCACGCACGGGCAAACCGCGCAAUGGCUCAUUAAAUCAGUCCGGGUUCCUUAGGCGACACGGCCCUCGCGGGCGCAUCGGAUAACUGUGGCAAAUCCAGAGCUAAUACGUGCGGCGCGAGCCCGACCCGCCGCCAGGGGAGAAAGGCGCUUUUAUUAGUACAAGACCGGCGUCCGCCGCUUCGGCCGCGCGGACCCUCGUCAGGCGAACUCUGGAUAACCGGCCCGACCGCUCCGUCCCUCGGGGACGGCGGCGCGCCUUUCAAGCGUCUGCCCUAUCAAAUGUCGACGGUAGGCCACACGCCAACCGUGUUGACGACGGGUGACGGGGAAUCGGGGUUCGGUUCCGGAGAGGGAGCACGAGAAACGGCUACCACAUCCAAGGAAGGCAGCAGGCGCGCAACUUACCCACUCCCGGCCCGGGGAGGUAGUGACGAGAAAUAACGAUGCGGGUCUCGAGUCGGGCCCCGCGGUCGGAAUGAGCGCAGUCCAAACCCCUGACGGCGACGACCCAUCGGAGGGCAAGCCUGGUGCCAGCAGCCGCGGUAAUUCCAGCUCCGAUAGCGUAUAUUAAAGCUGCUGCAGUUAAAAAGCUCGUAGUUGGAUCUCGAGGCGGGCGGCGAUUCGACUCGGGGCGCGGCGGUCUUCCGUCGCUCGUCCCGGUCGGACAACCGUCCCGCCCCUCGGACGCCGGCUCUCUCCCGCGGCCGCUCUUGACUGGGCGGCCCGGGCGGCCGGCCUUUUACUUUGAAAAAAUUAGAGUGUUCAAGGCGGGCCAGCAGCGCCCGGAUAACCGCGCAUGGAAUGAUGGAACAGGACCGCCGUCCCGUUCGGCCGGUCUCAGGGGCGGAGGUAAUGAUUGAAAGAGGACGGCCGGGGGCAUUCGUACCGCGGCGGGAGAGGUGAAAUUCGAUGAUCGUCGCGAGACGGCCGAGAGCGAAAGCAUUUGUCAAGAGCGCUUUCUUUAAUCAAGAACGAAAGUCGGAGGCUCGAAGACCGAUCAGAUACCGUCGUAGUUCCGACCGUAAACGAUGCCGACCGGCGAUCCGCGGAAGUCUCGCACGGACUGCGCGGGCGGCCCCCGGGAAACCAGAGUCUCUGGGUUCCGGGGGGAGUAUGGUCGCAAAGCUGAAACUUAAAGGAAUUGACGGAAGGGCACCACCAGGAGUGGGGUCUGCGGCUUAAUUCGACUCAACACGGGAAAACUCACCCGGUCCGGACACCGCCAGAUUGACAGACCGAGGCUCUUUCUUGAUUCGGUGGGUGGUGGUGCAUGGCCGUUCUUAGUUGGUGGAGCGAUCUGUCUGGUUAAUUCCGAUAACGAACGAGACUCCGGCCUGCUAGUUAGCGCGGCGGCGUCCGGCGGCCGUUGCGUCGCGGGCGCUGGCGUGGGUCCGCCCGCGCUUGUCGUCCCGGCCGUGGCCGCCCGCCGCCGCGACCCUGAGGCUUCUUAGAGGGACGGGCGGUGGCCAGCCGCACGAGAAGGAGCGAUAACAGGUCUGUGAUGCCCUUAGACGUCCGGGGCCGCACGCGUGCUACACUGGGGGAGUCAGCGCGGACGGCGUCCCGGCCCGAAGGGUCGGGAAAGCCGCUGAGUCUCCCCCGUGCUCGGGACCGGGGCUUGGCCAUUGUGCCCCGCCAACGAGGAAUUCCCCGUAGCGCGGGUCAUAACCCCGCGCCGAUUACGUCCCUGCCCUUUGUACACACCGCCCGUCGCUACCAUCGGUGAACGGUCUAGCGAGGGCCUCGGACCGGCGCGGAGUCCUCCCUUUACCGGCGCGGGGCUCCUCGCCGGGAAGACGCCCGAACUCGGUCGCUCGGAGAUAGUAAAAAUCGUAACAAGGUUUCCGUAGUGAACUGCGGAAGGAUCAUUA
rnacentral:rRNA from 1 species